rnacentral:rRNA from 1 species
GACGAACCGUACGAACGUUAUUCGGAAUCACUGGGCUUAAAGGGUGCGUAGGCGGCGCUGAAAGUUGGGUGUGAAAUCCCUCGGCUCAACCGAGGAACUGCAUUCAAAACUACAGUGCUUGAGGGAGAUAGAGGUGAGCGGAACUUAGGGUGGAGCGGUGAAAUGCGUUGAUAUCCUAAGGAACACCCGUGGCGAAAGCGGCUCACUGGGUCUCUUCUGACGCUGAGGCACGAAAGCGUGGGGAGCAAACAGG